UGAAAACGGAAACAAUAAGUAUGCCGGCUCACUGUGCUGCAUACAAUUACACACUGCGUCGUACGAUUGAGACAAGGAAACUUGGAAUGACUUUUCAUAGGUUUCCCAGAGACUAUGGGUUGAGGAGGAAUUGGAAGUUUGUCAGCUUAGACCUGGUGUCAUUCCAUCAGUGUUAAACUUCCCGGCUCAUCUUGAAAGAGUACGUGCCAGAAAGACCACGACCAAGCAGCCUUGAGAUCUUAGGCAGCGUCUCCCUGAGGUCCCUCUCUAUCUCCCCACACAUCCACCAACCACUGGAACACAUCUCCAAAGUUCUGCCAGACCAGCUCAGCUUCCCCUCAGAAGAAGUGGUGCCACCUGCCAGAUGAAGGAGCCUUUUGAGAGGCAGCUGGCAUCGUGAUUGGACUGUACUUUGGUCUGUUCCAAUCCAGCUUCAGCUCCAGAGACGGCAGGCGGGACGAGUCAACGGAGGCCGGGUGGACGAAGACAUGCAGCUGAGUACAAUCCAGAAAACAACAGAGGAGGAGUGCAGCAGCCCAGGGCCAGAACAACCAGAGCAUGUCUUUUAGAAAACAUCAUAGUAUAGCCUUUGGGAUGAAAAAAUGCCAUCAUAUACAUCGUAUAUUGUACAAGUAAGUCAAAGGACAGAGACAUACAUUGUAGAAUUGUAGUAAUUGUGGGCUGAAUGAUUUACUGAUUAGCAGCAUUUUAUUUUUUACUGAUUUACGGUAAUAAAUACAUUUAAAAAUG